AGUGAACGCUGGCGGCAUGCCUAACACAUGCAAGUCGAACGGCAGCACCGUAAGAGCUUGCUCUUACGGGUGGCGCGUGGCGGACGGGUGAGGAAUACAUCGGAUACUACUUUUACGUGGGUGAUAACGCAGGGAAACUUCUGCUAACACAGCAUACGUCCUACGGGUGAGAGCAGGCGUUCUUCGGACCUUGUGCGAUUGUAUGAGCCGAUGUCGGAUUAGAUAGUUGGCGGGGUAAAGGCCCACCAAGGCGACGAUCCGUAGCAGGUCUGAGAGGAUGAUCCGCCACACUGGAACUGAGACACGGUCCAGACUCCUACGGGAGGCAGCAGUGGGGAAUAUUACGCAAUGGGCGAAAGCCUGAUCCAGCCAUACCGCGUGAGUGAUGAAGGACUUCGGGUGGUAAAGCGCUGUUGUUGGGAAAGAAAAGAAGCAGGUUUACACGCGGCGAUACUGACGGUACCGAGAGAAUAAGCACCGGCUAACUUCGUG
rnacentral:rRNA from 1 species